GUCAGGUGUGGUGGCAUGUGCCUGUAGUCCCAGCUACUCUGGAGGCUGAGGUGGGAGGAUCUCUUAAGCCCAGGAGUUCUGGGCUGUAGUGCGCUAUGCCGAUCGGGUGUCCACACUAAGUUCAGCAUCACCUCCCGGGAGCGGGGUACCACCAGGUUUCCUAAGGAGGGGUGAACUGGCCCAGGUCAGAAACAGAGCAGGUUAAAACUCCCGUGCUGAUCAGUAGUGGGAUCACGCCUGUGAGUAGCCACUGCACUCCAGCCUGGGCAACAUAGCGAGACCCAGUCUCUU
ensembl:misc_RNA Metazoa_SRP Metazoan signal recognition particle RNA